GGCCGUGGUGUCCCCCGCUCCGGACAGCUGGCUGAGGGCGGCUGGGCAGGAGGCUAGGCCGCCAGGCUCCCGCCCUCGGCUCUCUGGCCCGCACUGCGCCCCCCCCCAUCCGUAUGGCCCCUUCACCCUAAGGGAGGCUGCUUCACUGGCUACCGUCCGCGGCCCCUGCCCGCUCCAGCUGCUUGGGCAGCAGCGGUUGACUUGAGCAGAAAGAGGAGAGCCAGCAGUCCCCGGCUUCCUGGCCCUGAGCUGAGUCCAGAGCUUCUGCUGGUCUCUGGGAAGGACACAGCUCUGGUCCUGGGGUUGCUCUGAAAACAUGAAGCCUCGAUUUGGAGAUAGACUGGUUCUGCAUUCACCAGGGCCUUUUAACAACAGCAGCGGCAGCGCACGGGUGAGAAGCAUCAAGGCCCAAGAGGAGCGGAGGGCGACUGGCUGCCCAAGAGGCGCUGCGUCCUCCGGGGGCCCAGAGCCCGGACGGCAGCAUGCGUGCCCUGGAGACAGCACUACCCUGGAAGAGCCGAGGGGUGCCUGGGUUCAGGACAGCAAUGUGACCCUGGCCGUCGAUCAGAGGUACAAGUGGUUGCAGCUCAGAGUGAUCUCGUGUGGACUGACGGCCGUGCCUCCUGUGUCACGUUUUCCUCUCCUGCUCACCCCACCCCUCAUGAGCUUGGAAGGAGGCCAGGGGUGCAGGAGUUGGGAAGGGUUUUUUUCUCCUUGUGUCAGAAAUGCCAUGUCCUGUUUGUAAUGCUGAAACAUACCCGCACACUGCAGGGAGGUUUCUUCUCUUAAAAGUGAGAGGCUGUUCAUUC
rnacentral:lncRNA from 12 species